rnacentral:misc_RNA from 1 species
UUAAGUUCAGCGGGUAUUCCUACCUGAUCCGAGGUCAACCUUGGGUUAAAAGAAGUUCCUUUAACGGCCGGAGCGCGCCGCGCCUCCCUAGCGAGAUAGGAUUCUACUACGCUCGGAGUUCGCCGCGAGCCCGCCACUCCAUUUCGGGGCCUGCGGCAGCCGCAGGGCCCCAACACCAAGCCGGGGGCUUGAGGGUUGAA